rnacentral:rRNA from 1 species
AUUGAACGCUGGCGGCAUGCCUUACACAUGCAAGUCGAACGGCAGCACGGGGCAACCUGGUGGCGAGUGGCGAACGGGUGAGUAAUGUAUCGGAACGUACCAUGAGUGGGGGAUAACGUAGCGAAAGUUACGCUAAUACCGCAUAUUCUCUCCGGAGGAAAGCAGGGGACCGCAAGGCCUUGCGCUCUUUGAGCGGCCGAUAUCAGAUUAGCUAGUUGGUGAGGUAAAGGCUCACCAAGGCGACGAUCUGUAGCGGGUCUGAGAGGGUGAUCCGCCACACUGGAACUGAGACACGGUCCAGACUCCUACGGGAGGCAGCAGUGGGGAAUUUUGGACAAUGGGGGCAACCCUGAUCCAGCCAUGCCGCGUGAGUGAAGAAGGCCUUCGGGUUGUAAAGCUCUUUCGGCCGGGAAAAAAUCGCAUGGGCUAAUACCCUGUGUGGAUGAUGGUACCGGAAUAAGAAGCACCGGCUAACUACGUGCCAGCAGCCGCGGUAA